GUUGCAGUUCCUGGAAUUAAGUUGACUGUGUAGCCUGUGAGGGCAAGGCUUGAAUAAUGCUCCUGAAGUCAGCAACUUGAUUCCAGCAAUUGCGGCCCGA
rnacentral:pre_miRNA from 1 species